GACGAACGCUGGCGGCGUGCUUAACACAUGCAAGUCGAACGGAAAGGCCCUGCUUUUGUGGGGUGCUCGAGUGGCGAACGGGUGAGUAACACGUGAGUAACCUGCCCUUGACUUUGGGAUAACUUCAGGAAACUGGGGCUAAUACCGGAUAGGAUCUCCUGCUGCAUGGUGGGGGUUGGAAAGUUUCGGCGGUUGGGGAUGGACUCGCGGCUUAUCAGCUUGUUGGUGGGGUAGUGGCUUACCAAGGCUUUGACGGGUAGCCGGCCUGAGAGGGUGACCGGCCACAUUGGGACUGAGAUACGGCCCAGACUCCUACGGGAGGCAGCAGUGGGGAAUAUUGCACAAUGGGCGGAAGCCUGAUGCAGCAACGCCGCGUGCGGGAUGACGGCCUUCGGGGUGUAAACCGCUUUCGCCUGUGACGAAGCGUGAGUGACGGUAAUGGGUAAAGAAGCACCGGCUAACUACGUG
rnacentral:rRNA from 1 species